UUUCUCUAAUUAUCAAAAACAAACAUUAAAAUUUAGUGGCAGCAAUUGUAAAUAAAUUCCAACUACACGAUUUAGUUCACAAAAUGGCUGCAAAAAUGUAUAUGUAGAUUUAUACUAAAUUUAGAUUUGUUGCAAAAUAUACAUGAAAAACGAAAAGAAAUUAAAACAAAAAAAUCAAAAA
rnacentral:sRNA from 1 species